rnacentral:rRNA from 1 species
AUUGAACGCUGGCGGCAGGCCUAACACAUGCAAGUCGAACGAGUGGCGGACGGGUGAGUAAUGUCUGGGAAACUGCCCGAUGGAGGGGGAUAACUACUGGAAACGGUAGCUAAUACCGCAUACCAUCGGAUGUGCCCAGAUGGGAUUAGCUUGUAGGUGAGGUAACGGCUCACCUAGGCGACGAUCCCUAGCUGGUCUGAGAGGAUGACCAGCCACACGGGGACUGAGAAACGGUCCAGACUCCUACGGGAGGCAGCAGAGUGGAAUAUUUCACAAGGGGAGCAAGCCUAAUGCAGCCAGGCCGAGUGUAUGAAGAAGGCCUUCGGGUUGUAAAGUACUUUCAGCGGGGAGGCGUUACCCGCAGAAGAAGCACCGGCUAACUCCGUGCCAGCCGCCGCGGUAAUAC